CAGCCGCCGCGGUAAUACCGGCGGCCCGAGUGGCGGUCACUAUUAUUGGGCUUAAAGCGUCCGUAGCCGGGUUGGGAAGUCCUCCGGGAAAUCUGGCCGCUUAACGGUCAGAAUGCCGGAGGAUACUCCCAGCCUAGGGAGCGGGAGAGGCCGAGGGUAUUCCCGGAGUAGGGGGGAAAUCCUAUAAUCCCGGGAGGACCACCUGUGGCGAAGGCGCUCGGCUGGAACGCGUCCGACGGUGAGGGACGAAGGCCAGGGGAGCAAACCGGAUUAGAUACCCGGGUAGUCCUGGCUGUAAACGAUGCGGACUUUGUGUCGGACAAGCUAUGAGCUUGUCCGGUGCCGGAGGGAAACCGUUAAGUCCGCCGCCUGGGGAGUACGGCCGCAAGGCUGAAACUUAAGGAAUUGGCGGG
rnacentral:rRNA from 1 species